CCUACGGGUGGCAGCAGUGAGGAAUAUUGGUCAAUGGACGAGAGUCUGAACCAGCCAAGUAGCGUGAAGGAUGACUGCCCUAUGGGUUGUAAACUUCUUUUAUAAAGGAAUAAAACGAGGCACGUGUGCCGUUUUGCAUGUACUUUAUGAAUAAGGAUCGGCCAACUCCGUGCCAGCAGCCGCGGUAAUACGGAGGAGCCGAGCGUUAUCCGGAUUUAGUGGGUUUAAAGGGAGCGUAGAUGGGUUGUUAAGUCAGUUGUGAAAGUUUGCGGCUCAACCGUAAAAUUGCAAUUGAUACUGGCAGUCUUGAGUACAGUUGAGGUAGGCGGAAUUCGUGGUGUAGCGGUGAAAUGCUUAGAUAUCACGAAGAACCCCGAUUGCGAAGGCAGCUUACUAGACUGUGACUGACAUUGAUGCUCGAAAGUGUGGGUAUCAAACAGGAUUAGAUACCCCUGUAGUC
rnacentral:rRNA from 1 species